rnacentral:rRNA from 1 species
ACGAACGCUGGCGGCGUGCUUCACACCUGCAAGUCGCACGAGAGCGUAGAGAAAGCUUGCUUUUUCUACAAUCUAGUGGCAAACGGGUGAGUAACGCGUAAACAACCUGCCCUACGGAUGGGGACAACAGCUGGAAACGGCUGCUAAUACCGAAUACGUUCCGAAAGUCGCAUGACUAUCGGAAGAAAGGAUGGCCUCUAUUUAUAAGCUAUCGCCGGAGGAGGGGUUUGCGUCUGAUUAGCUAGUUGGAGGGGUAACGGCCCACCAAGGCGACGAUCAGUAGCCGGUCUGAGAGGAUGAACGGCCACAUUGGAACUGAGACACGGUCCAGACUCCUACGGGAGGCAGCAGUGGGGAAUCUUCCGCAAUGGGCGAAAGCCUGACGGAGCAACGCCGCGUGAGUGAAGACGGCCUUCGGGUUGUAAAGCUCUGUUAUACGGGACGAAUAAUCUUGUGGUUAAUACCCAUGAGAAGUGACGGUACCGUAAGAGAAAGCCACGGCUAACUACGUG